AUACGUAGGGUGCAAGCGUUAAUCGGAAUUACUGGGCGUAAAGCGUGCGCAGGCGGUUUUGUAAGACAGAGGUGAAAUCCCCGGGCUCAACCUGGGAAAUGCCUUUGUGACUGGAAGGCUAGAGUCCGGAAGAGGGGGGUGGAACUCCACGGGUAGCAGUGAAAUGCGUAGAUAUGCGGAGGAACACCGAUGGCGAAGGCAAUCCCCUGGGCCUGUACUGACGCUCAUGCACGAAAGCGUGGGGAGCAAACAGGAUUAGAUACCCUGGUAGUCCACGCCCUAAACGAUGUCAACUGGUUGUUGGGUCUUCAUUGACUCAGUAACGAAGCUAACGCGUGAAGUUGACCGCCUGGGGAGUACGGCCGCAAGGUUGAAACUCAAAUGAAUUGACGGGG
rnacentral:rRNA from 1 species